ACAUGGGCACUGACACAUUCGUAUUACAUCUUCCUCUUGCGCACAAAUGCACAUUCAUUGGAAUCUUCUCCACUAACCGAUACCAGCAAUCACAACCCAAUCUAUUCACCAGGCAGCGUUGUUUCUCACGUUUUACUCAUCCAGUUAGUGACGUGACGAUUGUGUGACGAUGUCGUGUCGUGUGAUUGUUUUUGCAUAACUCCUGCUUCUCUUUUCCACGCACACUCUCUUGUCUCGCUUGCCUCGACUUCCACUGCCAUAAUGUCCACUGUUCAAGCAUGUGGACGUCCAUCAGGGGUAAGAUCAAGUUUUUUAUCAGGAAGACACGAAAUGACAGGAACAAAACUCUGGGAGGAAUUGGGAAUCCCCUGCUUAACGGCUUCUUUGAUAAACGAAAGGUAGAGAGCUGCACCCAGCAGAUGGUACGUGGUGAGUGGAUAAGGGCUGAACAUGACAGAUGUACAUUAUUAACUCAUGUUGUGCAGAAUAAAAGAGGCUUAAAACAUGUAUUAGAGUGGCAUGCAUUCUCGAUAAAACUGUUUGAACAUCAUGUAUAAUAUGUAAAUCUGUUUAUGACAUGUAACAUGUUACUCUUUUUCUGUAUUUCCACUUGUGUUCAACACCAGGACAAAAUGACAACUGUGUGCAACAGGAAUCAUUUCUUCUUUUUUUAAGAUUAUUAUUUGGGCAUUUCUGCCUUUAAUCACCAGGACAGCAUUAAAGGGGAGAGAGAAGGGGAAGACAUGCAGCAAAUCUGCCGCAGGUUUCAACAGAAAUCCUUUCUGAGCUUUAUGUUAUUGCUAUAAACAAUGUGUUUUCUGUUUAUAAAAACAACAUAUUUGUAAUCAUUAAAGGUUCUUGAGUCAA